GCGGCCGUAACUAUAACGGUCCUAAGGUAGCGAAAUUCCUUGUCGGGUAAGUUCCGACCUGCACGAAUGGCGUAAUGAUGGCCAGGCUGUCUCCACCCGAGACUCAGUGAAAUUGAACUCGCUGUGAAGAUGCAGUGUACCCGCGGCAAGACGGAAAGACCCCGUGAACCUUUACUAUAGCUUGACACUGAACAUUGAGCCUUGAUGUGUAGGAUAGGUGGGAGGCUUUGAAGUGUGGACGCCAGUCUGCAUGGAGCCGACCUUGAAAUACCACCCUUUAAUGUUUGAUGUUCUAACGUGGACCCGUAAUCCGGGUUGCGGACAGUGUCUGGUGGGUAGUUUGACUGGGGCGGUCUCCUCCUAAAGAGUAACGGAGGAGCACGAAGGUUGGCUAAUCCUGGUCGGACAUCAGGAGGUUAGUGCAAUGGCAUAAGCCAGCUUGACUGCGAGCGUGACGGCGCGAGCAGGUGCGAAAGCAGGUCAUAGUGAUCCGGUGGUUCUGAAUGGAAGGGCCAUCGCUCAACGGAUAAAAGGUACUCCGGGGAUAACAGGCUGAUACCGCCCAAGAGUUCAUAUCGACGGCGGUGUUUGGCACCUCGAUGUCGGCUCAUCACAUCCUGGGGCUGAAGUAGGUCCCAAGGGUAUGGCUGUUCGCCAUUUAAAGUGGUACGCGAGCUGGGUUUAGAACGUCGUGAGACAGUUCGGUCCCUAUCUGCCGUGGGCGCUGGAGAACUGAGGGGGGCUGCUCCUAGUACGAGAGGACCGGAGUGGACGCAUCACUGGUGUUCGGGUUGUCAUGCCAAUGGCACUGCCCGGUAGCUAAAUGCGGAAGAGAUAAGUGCUGAAAGCAUCUAAGCACGAAACUUGCCCCGAGAUGAGUUCUCCCUGAGACUUAGAGUCUCCUGAAGGAACGUUGAAGACGACGACGUUGAUAGGCCGGGUGUGUAAGCGCAGCGAUGCGUUGAGCUAACCGGUACUAAUGAACCGUGAGGCUUAACCUUAC
rnacentral:rRNA from 1 species